rnacentral:rRNA from 1 species
AGUGAACGCUAGCGGUAGGCCUAACACAUGCAAGUCGAACGGCAGCACAGUAAGAGCUUGCUCUUACGGGUGGCGAGUGGCGGACGGGUGAGGAAUACAUCGGAAUCUACUUUUUCGUGGGGGAUAACGUAGGGAAACUUACGCUAAUACCGCAUACGACCUACGGGUGAAAGCAGGGGAUCUUCGGACCUUGCGCGAUUGAAUGAGCCGAUGUCGGAUUAGCUAGUCGGCGGGGUAAAGGCCCACCAAGGCGACGAUCCGUAGCUGGUCUGAGAGGAUGAUCAGCCACACUGGAACUGAGACACGGUCCAGACUCCUACGGGAGGCAGCAGUGGGGAAUAUUGGACAAUGGGCGCAAGCCUGAUCCAGCCAUACCGCGUGGGUGAAGAAGGCCUUCGGGUUGUAAAGCCCUUUUGUUGGGAAAGAAAAGCAGCAGGUUAAUACCCCGCUGUUCUGACGGUGCCCAAAGAAUAAGCACCGGCUAACUUCGUG